UCCAUUACACCAUAUACCUGUGUGCACUGUGACAACCCCACUGCCUUGGGGGCCUAAUCGCUGUUGGCGAUAUUGACUGUCUGCUGAAGGCGGUCGGGGUCCCCGAGGUAUGGUCUUCAUUCCUCUUUUAACGAAAAAACCAAACCAGGUCUCUCUUAGAGUGACCCCAAAGUGAAUA
rnacentral:misc_RNA from 1 species